rnacentral:rRNA from 1 species
GUGUCAGCCGCCGCGGUAAUACGGAGGGGGCUAGCGUUAUUCGGAAUCAUUGGGCGUAAAGGGCGCGUAGGCGGCGCGGUAAGUCAAAGGUGAAAUCCCUCGGCUCAACUGAGGAACUGCCUUUGAAACUGCCGUGCUUGAGUCCGGGAGGGGGUAGCGGAAUUCCCAGUGUAGCGGUGAAAUGCGUAGAUAUUGGGAGGAACACCAGUGGCGAAGGCGGCUACCUGGACCGGUACUGACGCUGAUGCGCGAAAGCGUGGGGAGCAAACAGGAUUAGAAACCCUCGUAGUCC